rnacentral:rRNA from 1 species
AGAGUUUGAUCAUGGCUCAGGACGAACGCUGGCGGCGUGCUUAACACAUGCAAGUCGAGCGGUAAGGCUCCUUCGGGAGUACACGAGCGGCGAACGGGUGAGUAACACGUGAGCAAUCUGCCCUUCACAUUGGGAUAACCCUCGGAAACGAGAGCUAAUACCGGAUACGACCACUGGCGGCAUCGCCUGGUGGUAGAAAGCUCCGGCGGUGGAGGAUGAGCUCGCGGCCUAUCAGCUUGUUGGUGGGGUAACGGCCCACCAAGGCGACGACGGGUAGCCGGCCUGAGAGGGUGACCGGCCACACUGGGACUGAGACACGGCCCAGACUCCUACGGGAGGCAGCAGUGGGGAAUAUUGGACAAUGGGCGAAAGCCUGAUCCAGCAACGCCGCGUGAGGGAUGACGGCCUUCGGGUUGUAAACCUCUUUCAGCAGGGACGAAGCGAAAGUGACGGUACCUGCAGAAGAAGCACCGGCCAACUACGUGCCAGCAGCCGCGGUA